rnacentral:rRNA from 1 species
AGCUAUAUGUAUUAUAUAUAUGGUGACUUCUGCUCAAUGAGUAAUGUUAAAUAGCCGCAGUACCCUGACUGUGCAAAGGUAGCAUAAUCAUUUGGCUCAUAAUUGGAGUCUGGUAUGAAUGAAUUUAUGGCUGGGAACUGUCUCCUUUAAAGUUUAUUGAAUUUACUUAGUGAGUGCAAAUACUCAUAUUUAGACAAAAGACGAGAAGACCCUAGAAAUUUUUACUAAUUUCUACUAAAAGAAAGCGUUUUUGUUGGGGCGACAUAAUAACAUAUAACUUAUUAUAAAUAUAAGAACCUUUUGUUGAGUAAAUUAAAAUUACUCUAGGGAUAACAGCAUAAUUUAUAAAAGUUUGUGACCUCGAUGUUGGAUUAGGGACUGUAUUAUUCAGAAGAAAAUAUCAUUUGUUCUGUUCGAACAAUAGUUCUU